UGGGGAAUUUUGGACAAUGGGGGAAACCCUGAUCCAGCCAUCCCGCGUGUGCGAUGAAGGCCUUCGGGUUGUAAAGCACUUUUGGCAGGAAAGAAACGUCAUGGGUUAAUACCCCGUGAAACUGACGGUACCUGCAGAAUAAGCACCGGCUAACUACGUGCCAGCAGCCGCGGUAAUACGUAGGGUGCACGCGUUAAUCGGAAUUACUGGGCGUAAAGCGUGCGCAGGCGGUUCGGAAAGAAAGAUGUGAAAUCCCAGAGCUCAACUUUGGAACUGCAUUUUUAACUACCGGGCUAGAGUGUGUCAGAGGGAGGUGGAAUUCCGCGUGUAGCAGUGAAAUGCGUAGAUAUGCGGAGGAACACCGAUGGCGAAGGCAGCCUCCUGGGAUAACACUGACGCUCAUGCACGAAAGCGUGGGGAGCAAACAGG
rnacentral:rRNA from 1 species